rnacentral:rRNA from 1 species
GGACACGUGUAAUCCUGUCUGAAGAUGGGGGGACCAUCCUCCAAGGCUAAAUACUCGUGAUCGACCGAUAGUGAACCAGUACCGUGAGGGAAAGGCGAAAAGAACCCCGGGAGGGGAGUGAAAUAGAUCCUGAAACCGCAUGCAUACAAACAGUGGGAGCCUCGCAAGGGGUGACUGCGUACCUUUUGUAUAAUGGGUCAGCGACUUACGUUCAGUUGCGAGCUUAACCGAAUAGGGGAGCGUAGCGAAAGCGAGUCUGAACAGGGCGUUCAGUAGCUGGGCGUAGACCCGAAACCGGAUGAUCUAUCCAUGGCCAGGUUGAAGGUGCGGUAACACGCACUGGAGGACCGAACCCACUAGUGUUGCAAAACUAGGGGAUGAGCUGUGGAUAGGGGUGAAAGGCUAAACAAAUCCGGAGAUAGCUGGUUCU